rnacentral:rRNA from 1 species
GACAGAGGGUGCAAACGUUGUUCGGAAUUACUGGGCGUAAAGCGCGUGUAGGCUGCUCCGAAAGUCGGAUGUGAAAGCCCUGGGCUCAACCUAGGAAGUGCACUCGAAACUUCGGAGCUGGGGUCCUGGAGAGGAAGGCGGAAUUCUCGGUGUAGAGGUGAAAUUCGUAGAUAUCGAGAGGAACACCGGUGGCGAAGGCGGCCUUCUGGACAGUGACUGACGCUGAGACGCGAAAGCGUGGGGAGCAAACAGG